CUCCUGAAACAACAAAUCACCGAAAAUAAAAAUUAAAUCGUUGAAAACGUAAACCACAUUUUUUCGAGUCAGUGAUGAAUGGAUCUGCCUCUAUUCUUGGCGGUGAAUUACGUACCGGACAGGGGUCAAUGCUGCAUUGCACCAGACGAAAGAGGAAAACAACCGGGGCAUCGUUAUCUCUUCACCCCCGUCAUUGUGCAAAUAAGAAGUGGCUGAAGAGUAAUGAAAGCCUUCGCGGGAAUACAGAAGUCACUUGUUGAAACUCACUGGUAAUCCAGCCUGACGUUUACGAGGCCAUGAAGUAGCCAGGGAAAUGGUGAAAAAUAGGGAAAAAUAUUUGGAUUGGCCAAGAGGAGGGGUAAAGAUGUAAACACUUGAGGAGAUAUACAUCUGAAGUUUUUUCCCAUUCUGCCCCCUGGAUAUCAACUGACCCAUUAAUCGUUGAACUUGUGCUACUUCAUGGAUCAAAUGUUGAAGUUCCAUAGAUUUAAUUUGUGGGGAAAAUUACGUGUGUUAUGUAGACAGAGCAGGAUAAUUACACCGGGAUCCUACAUUAUCGACACCUCGGCAGUGCAGGAAAGAUCAUAAAAUUACCACCGCCUCAUUUAAGCUCAUACAUAAUUCUUUUAGGAAAGAUGAAAAGAUUUGUUGCUGUCUCGUUUUCUGGGCGGUGUGGCGGGGUAAAAAUGACCUGGGAAGGUGGAUCGAGGAGACAAGAGGGCACCUGGGAGUGGUCGCAGGGGAGAUUUCUGGUAAUAUGGAACGGCGAUGGCGAGGAAACUCCCCGGGAGUAUCCCGAGGUGUCGAACAAGGACAGAGAAACAACAGAAGUGAGAGACUGACCGACGACCCGAGGAUAUUAGUCAGGCUUUCGGAUAUUAUAUGGAGGCCGGAAAGUGACGAGAGCCGGGCUCUUAGAUUUUUCAGACUUGAAUUGAAUAACAGAAGCUGCGUAAAAAAUUGGAAUCGCGAUUUCUCCGCCGAAAACAGCUUGAAAAUGGUGAAAGAUCACUUGGAGAAUUUGUUCACUCGGUGGGAUUCGGGUGAAGUGUGUUGAAGGUGAUUUCAUAACGUUUUAACAAUUUUAAGAGACAUUGAAAAUGCGAGGUGGAGACACCGCCAUGUUUGAAGCCGUUGUGAGGGAAUGGAGGGGGAUAAGCAAGAUGGCGACAUUACAGCUGUGUCCACAUCACAUUUUUGAACAUUUUUUAUAAUUAUUCCACUAUUUAUAUCAUCUUCAAAUGUUUGCAAUUAGUUUCUAGGAGGUGACUAUUGUGUAAAAUUGAUUUUUCAGAUUUUUUCAUUCUUCUUUAAUAGAAAAUUCAUAGCACAAUUUUUUUACAACAUUUGAUAGUGUUUUUUCAAACGAGGACCUCUCGAAAUCAACUCUGAAAUUCUGGGAUUUCCUAGGGAUUUGUCUCAAAGAUGUUCAAAUUAAAAAUACAUUUUAAAAAAAUGCAAAUAAAA